rnacentral:rRNA from 1 species
CCUACGGGUGGCAGCAGUGAGGAAUAUUGCUCAAUGGGCGCGAGCCUGACCCAGCCAAGUAGCGUGAAGGAUGACUGCCCUACGGGUUGUAAACUUCUUUUAUAAAGGAAUAAAGUGAGGCACGUUUGCCUUUUUGUAUGUACUUUAUGAGUAAGGAUCGGCUAACUCCGUGCCAGCAGCCGCGGUAAUACGGAGGAUGCGAGCGUUAUCCGGAUUUAUUGGGUUUAAAGGGAGCGUAGAUGGGUUGUUAAGUCAGUUGUGAAAGUUUGCGGCUCAACCGUAAAAUUGCAAUUGAUACUGGCAGCCUUGAGUACAGUUGAGGUAGGCGGAAUUCGUGGUGUAGCGGUGAAAUGCUUAGAUAUCACGAAGAACUCCGAUUGCGAAGGCAGUUUACUAAACUGCCACUGACAUUGAUGCGCGAAAGUGUGGGUAUCAAACAGGAUUAGAUACCCGAGUAGUC